GCGACGGUUGUCCCGGUUUAAGCGUGUAGGUGUGUGUUCCAGGUAAAUCCGGUUCACUUUAACACUGAGGCGUGACGACGAGGCACUACGGUGCUGAAGCAACAAAUGCCCUGCUUCCAGGAAAAGCCUCUAAGCAUCAGGUAACAUCAAAUCGUACCCCAAACCGACACAGGUGGUCAGGUAGAGAAUACCAAGGCGCUUGAGAGAACUCGGGUGAAGGAACUAGGCAAAAUGGUGCCGUAACUUCGGGAGAAGGCACGCUGACACGUAGGUGAAGUGAUUUACUCAUGGAGCUGAAGUCAGUCGAAGAUACCAGCUGGCUGCAACUGUUUAUUAAAAACACAGCACUGUGCAAACACGAAAGUGGACGUAUACGGUGUGACGCCUGCCCGGUGCCGGAAGGUUAAUUGAUGGGGUCAGCGCAAGCGAAGCUCCUGAUCGAAGCCCCGGUAAACGGCGGCCGUAACUAUAACGGUCCUAAGGUAGCGAAAUUCCUUGUCGGGUAAGUUCCGACCUGCACGAAUGGCGUAAUGAUGGCCAGGCUGUCUCCACCCGAGACUCAGUGAAAUUGAACUCGCUGUGAAGAUGCAGUGUACCCGCGGCAAGACGGAAAGACCCCGUGAACCUUUACUAUAGCUUGACACUGAACAUUGAGCCUUGAUGUGUAGGAUAGGUGGGAGGCUUUGAAGUGUGGACGCCAGUCUGCAUGGAGCCGACCUUGAAAUACCACCCUUUAAUGUUUGAUGUUCUAACGUGGACCCGUUACCCGGGUUGCGGACAGUGUCUGGUGGGUAGUUUGACUGGGGCGGUCUCCUCCUAAAGAGUAACGGAGGAGCACGAAGGUUGGCUAAUCCUGGUCGGACAUCAGGAGGUUAGUGCAAUGGCAUAAGCCAGCUUGACUGCGAGCGUGACGGCGCGAGCAGGUGCGAAAGCAGGUCAUAGUGAUCCGGUGGUUCUGAAUGGAAGGGCCAUCGCUCAACGGAUAAAAGGUACUCCGGGGAUAACAGGCUGAUACCGCCCAAGAGUUCAUAUCGACGGCGGUGUUUGGCACCUCGAUGUCGGCUCAUCACAUCCUGGGGCUGAAGUAGGUCCCAAGGGUAUGGCUGUUCGCCAUUUAAAGUGGUACGCGAGCUGGGUUUAGAACGUCGUGAGACAGUUCGGUCCCUAUCUGCCGUGGGCGCUGGAGAACUGAGGGGGGCUGCUCCUAGUACGAGAGGACCGGAGUGGACGCAUCACUGGUGUUCGGGUUGUCAUGCCAAUGGCACUGCCCGGUAGCUAAAUGCGGAAGAGAUAAGUGCUGAAAGCAUCUAAGCACGAAACUUGCCCCGA
rnacentral:rRNA from 2 species